rnacentral:snRNA from 1 species
GGAUGUGAGGGCGAUCUGGUUGCGACAUCUGUCACCCCAUUGUUCGCCAGGGUUGAUUCGGCUGAUCUGGCUUGCUAGGCGGGUGUCCCCUUCCUCCCUCACCGCUCCAUGUGCGUCCGCCCCGAAGCUGCGCACUCAGUCGAAGAGGACGGCCUUGCCGAAUAGAGAUGGACCAGUCUUUGGUCAAGGGUGUACGAGUAGCUGUGCUCCCCUGCUAGAACCUCUAAACAAGCUCUCAAGAAUUAUACUUACUGACUAGUUAUGAAGAUAAAAUAUGAGGGGCCAGGCAGUGGCAUGCAUAAGGAUCCUGAUUCAAACCUCUGGCCCCCAUCUGCAAGAGGAAGCUUCGUG